rnacentral:rRNA from 1 species
UGGGGGAAACCCUGAUCCAGCCAUCCCGCGUGUGCGAUGAAGGCCUUCGGGUUGUAAAGCACUUUUGGCAGGAAAGAAACGUCGCGGGUUAAUACCUCGCGAAACUAACGGUACCUGCAGAAUAAGCACCGGCUAACUACGUGCCAGCAGCCGCGGUAAU